rnacentral:rRNA from 1 species
CAGUAGCCGCGGUAAUACAGAGGGUGCGAGCGUUAAUCGGAUUUACUGGGCGUAAAGCGUGCGUAGGCGGCUUCUUAAGUCGGAUGUGAAAUCCCUGAGCUUAACUUAGGAAUUGCAUUCGAUACUGGGAAGCUAGAGUAUGGGAGAGGAUGGUAGAAUUCCAGGUGUAGCGGUGAAAUGCGUAGAGAUUUGGAGGAAUACCGAUGGCGAAGGCAGCCAUCUGGCCUAAUACUGACGCUGAGGUACGAAAGCAUGGGGAGCAAACAGGAUUAGAUACCCGAGUAGUCCCUGUCUCUUAUAC